UACGUAGGGGGCGAGCGUUGUCCGGAGUUACUGGGCGUAAAGGGCGCGUAGGCGGCAAUUCAAGUCAUCUGUGAAAAUCUCCGGGCUUAACUCGGAACGGUCAGAUGAUACUGCUUUGCUAGAGUACAGAAGGGGCAAUCGGAAUUCUUGGUGUAGCGGUGAAAUGCGUAGAUAUCAAGAGGAACACCUGAGGUGAAGACGGGUUGCUGGGCUGAUACUGACGCUGAGGCGCGAAAGCUAGGGGUAGCAAACGGG
rnacentral:rRNA from 1 species